rnacentral:rRNA from 1 species
UACGGGGGGGAGCAAGCGUUGUUCGGAUUUACUGGGCGUAAAGGGCGCGUAGGCGGUCGUGACAAGUCACUUGUGAAAUCUCCGGGCUUAACUCGGAACGGUCAAGUGGAUACUGUCGGACUAGAGUACAGAAGGGGCAACUGGAAUUCCUGGUGUAGCGGUGAAAUGCGCAGAUAUCAGGAGGAACACCAGCGGCGAAGGCGGCGCUCUGGGCCGGAACUGACGCUGAGGAGCGAAAGCGUGGGGAGCAAACAGGAUAGAA